UUUUGUAUAAUGGGUCAGCGACUUAUAUUCUGUAGCAAGGUUAACCGAAUAGGGGAGCCGAAGGGAAACCGAGUCUUAACUGGGCGUUAAGUUGCAGGGUAUAGACCCGAAACCCGGUGAUCUAGCCAUGGGCAGGUUGAAGGUUGGGUAACACUAACUGGAGGACCGAACCGACUAAUGUUGAAAAAUUAGCGGAUGACUUGUGGCUGGGGGUGAAAGGCCAAUCAAACCGGGAGAUAGCUGGUUCUCCCCGAAAGCUAUUUAGGUAGCGCCUCGUGAAUUCAUCUCCGGGGGUAGAGCACUGUUUCGGCAAGGGGGUCAUCCCGACUUACCAACCCGAUGCAAACUGCGAAUACCGGAGAAUGUUAUCACGGGAGACACACGGCGGGUGCUAACGUCCGUCGUGAAGAGGGAAACAACCCAGACCGCCAGCUAAGGUCCCAAAGUCAUGGUUAAG
rnacentral:rRNA from 1 species